UGCCUUUUAUACGUUGCCCUUUCAUUUAAUUUUUUACAAUGAAUGUGGUGUCAGCAAAAGCAUACAUCAAAUCUUGGAUGGGCCUUAGCGAGGUUCCUCAUUGGUGCCCAUGUAGUAGACUCUAUACCAAGUACAAUA